rnacentral:rRNA from 1 species
AAUGCGUUUUGAGAUGGUCCUGCGUCCUAUCAGCUAGUUGGCAGGGUAACGGCCUACCAAGGCUAUGACGGGUAUCCGGCCUUAAAGGGUGAACGGACACACUGGAACUGAGACACGGUCCAGACUCCUAUGGGAGGCAGCAGUGGGGAAUUUUGGACAAUGGGGGAAACCCUGAUCCAGCGACGCCGCGUGGAGGAUGAAGGCCUUCGGGUUGUAAACUCCUUUUAGAGGGGAAGAAAUAAAUGACGUUACCCUCAGAAAAAGCCACGGCUAACUACGUGCCAGCAGCCGCGGUAAUACGUAGGUGGCGAGCGUUACUCGGAAUUACUAGGCGUAAAGCGUAUGUAGGCUGUCGUAUAAGUCUUUAGUAAAAUUUUCCGGCUCAACCGGGAAAAGCCUAAAGAUACUGUUCGACUUGAGUGUGGGAGAGGGAGACGGAAUUCCUGGUGUAGCGGUGAAAUGCGUAGAUAUCAGGAGGAACACCGAUGGCGAAAGCAGUCUUCUGGACCAAUACUGACGCUGAUGUACGAAAGCUAGGGUAGCAAACAGGAUUAGAUACCCUGGUAGUCCUAGCUGUAAACUAUGUUCACUAGAUGUGGGAGGUAUCGACCCCUUCCGCGUCGACGUUAACGCAUUAAGUGAACCGCCUGGGGAGUACGGCCGCAAGGUUGAAACUCAAAGGAAUUGACGGGGGCCCGCACAAGCGGUGGAGUAUGUGGUUUAAUUCGACGCAACGCGAAAAACCUUACCUGGGCUUGAACUGCUGAUGGUAAAAACCGGAAACGGCGAUGACCCGCAAGGGAGUCAGCAGAGGUGUUGCAUGGCUGUCGUCAGCUCGUGUCGUGAGAUGUUGGGUUAAGUCCCGCAACGAGCGCAACCCUUAUCCUAUGUUACCUGUAGCGAUACAGGGUCUCUGAGGAAACUGCCAUUGAUAAAAUGGAGGAAGGUGGGGACGACGUCAAGUCAUCAUGUCCUUUAUGUCCAGGGCUACACACGUACUACAAUGGCCGGUACAGAGGGCAGCAAUAUCGUAAGGUGGAGCAAAUCCCUGAAAGCCGGCCCCAGUUCAGAUUGUGGGCUGCAAUUCGCCCACAUGAAGUAGGAAUC